AUGAAGUUCAACAGGGACAAAUGCAAGAGACUUCACUUCGGCAGAAAGAAUGGAAAUCAAAGAUACAGAAUGGGGGACGAUGCCUGGCUUGACAGCAGUGUGUGCGAAAAAGACCUUGGAGUCCUCGUGGAGAGGAAGGUGAACAUGAGCCAACAAUGUGAUGCGGCAGCUAAAAAAGCCAAUGGGAUUCUGGCCUGCAUCAAUAGGGGGAGCAGGACUUCCCUGGAUCUAGACGCUAUUCCCCUAUUGAUGCAGGACAGAAUCCCAUUGGCUUUUUUAGCUGCCGCAUCACAUUGUUGGCUCAUGUUCACCUUCCUCUCCACGAGGACUCCAAGGUCUUUUUCGCACACACUGCUGUCAAGCCAGGCAUCCCCCAUUCUGUAUCUUUGAUUUCAAUUUUUUUCUGCCAAAGUGAAGUAUCUUGCAUUUGUCCCUGUUGAACUUCAUUUUGUUAGUUUCGGCCCAUCUCUCUAGUCUGUCAAGAUCGUUUUGAAUUCUGCUCCUGUCUUCUGGAGUGUUGGCUCUCCCUCCCAGUUUUGUGUCGUCUGCAAACUUGAUGAUCGUGCCUUCUAACCCUUCGUCUAAGUCGUUAAUAAAGAUGUUGAACAGAACCGGGCCCAGGACAGAGCCCUGCGGCACUCCACUUGUCACUUCUUUCCAUGAUGAAGAUGACGCAUUGGUGAGCACCCUUUGGGUUCGUUCGCUUAGCCAAUUACAGAUCCACCUAACCGUAGUUUUGUCUAGCCCACAUUUUACUAGUUUGUUUGCCAGAAGGUCGUGGGGGACUUUGUCGAACCUUUGUCGAAGUUCAAGAGGUGCCAAAGCGGAUUAAGUCCACGGUGUAGAUGCACUUCUUGGAUUUAUCCUGGAAUUCCCUCUUCUGUGCCACUAUUAAAAGUGCAUAUCUCUCUCUUUUAUAAAGCUACUAGCUGUGCCCGGCCACGCGUUGCUGUGGCGAAGUAUGGUGGUAUGGGAGAUAAAAUAUUGAGGAAUUGGUGGUAGUUAAGGUAAAGGUUAAAGGUUUUCCCCUGACUCUGGGGGUUGGUGCUCAUUGCCAUUUCUAAGCCAAAGAGCUGGCGUUGUCCGCAGACUCCUCCAAGGUUAUGUGGCAUGACUGCAUGGAGCACUGUUACCUUCCCGCCGAAGCAGUACCUAUUC
rnacentral:lncRNA from 1 species